rnacentral:rRNA from 1 species
UACGAAGGGGGCUAGCGUUGCUCGGAAUUACUGGGCGUAAAGCGCACGUAGGCGGCUCUUUAAGUCGGGGGUGAAAUCCUGGAGCUCAACUCCAGAACUGCCUUCGAUACUGAAGAGCUUGAGUCCGGGAGAGGUGAGUGGAACUGCGAGUGUAGAGGUGAAAUUCGUAGAUAUUCGGAAGAACACCAGUGGCGAAGGCGGCUCACUGGACCGGCAUUGACGCUGAGGUGCGAAAGCGUGGGGAGCAAACAGG